GAAGUUUCCAUUUGACAUCGACUAACACCCUCAUUAACAAGAUGGCGCUGGAAUCUGGGGGUGACCUUCAAGAUACCAGUGACAUCACACCCGGUAGGAAGAGCAAUAAAUGAACCACUUAACACCUAACCAACGAUUGAUGUAUUAAUCCAUGUUAUCUCUGACAAUGCAUAUGAUGUAAUGCCGUCCCCCCAGAAUAAACAUUCCUCAAGUUUUUCAUUAACC